UUGAAAUAUUUCCCUGCUCACCGUGCAUAUGUACGUUUCUUCUACAAAGAGUACUAGAGAUCAAAUGUGCGUAUAGUUCAACCGCUAGCCGCUGGAGACUCUUAUUCCUUGUAUCUAUUUCUUGGCUGACCUUUUUAACAUUGCGUCGGCAAUAGCCCUGCUCAUCUCUGAUAAAGGACCCCACCCUUAUUAGUAAUGGAUCGAAGCGUAUGUACUAAAGAUUACCAUUAAUUUGAUAAAUCUAUAAUCUUUCAAUUAUAUUGAAGUAAUAAUGUAUUGUGUAUCAGAGAUUAUAACAUACAUUCUUAUUGUAACAAGUUAUACAUUUGCACAAAAUGUCCUAUAUGGAGAACAAUAUCAGUGUCCACAACAUUGGAUAAAAUUUCAAGAAUCAUGUUACCGUUUCAUAAAGAGUCCUAUUAGGGACAGACAAGAAGCUAAAAAAAAUUGUGAAGCUUAUCAAAGUGAUCUUACUACAAUUAAUUCCUUAGAAGAACAUGGAUUUAUAUUAUAUCAUUUAUUAUGGCAAGAUCCACAACAUCAUAAAUGGUAUACUGGUAUAAAAUAUCAAAAUGGAAAUUGGAUAAAUGAAGCUGAUAAUACUCAAUUAUUAAAUAUGGAAAAUGCAUUUUUACCUGAACCAGUUGAUAAUACACUUGGAGGAGAUUAUUUAGUGUAUUCUUAUCAUAAUAAUUUACAACGAUGGGGACUGGAAAAAGUAAAUGGUAGAGAUAGGUUCUUAUACAUUUGUGAAGCACCAAUUUCUAAUUUGCAUAACUUAGUAGAUGAUGAUCGUACUUAUCAAUAUGGUAUUGAAAUUGAUAAUCCUCGUGAAAUUCCUAGAGGACCAUAUUUUAUCAAGCAACCUACUGAUAAAGUAUUUGAUCUGUCAAAAAGAAAAAUAAACAAUGAUGUUGCACUGAGUUGCUUAGCAGGUGGUUAUCCUGCACCAACAUAUGAAUGGUUCAAAGAAGAUUAUGAGAAUGACAGACUCAUUGCAACAAAAAUAGAUCCACUAAAUAAUAAUAGAUAUACAAUCAGUGGUGGCACUUUAAUUAUUUAUGAACCUGAUCAGACAGAAGACAGAGGUUCAUACCACUGUAAAGCAACCAAUAAAUUUGGUACAAUUAUAUCUGAAAGUGUGGAACUGUCAUUUGGGUAUAUAUUGGAAUUUAAUUUAAAACGUUCAGAAGAACGUGGAGAACAAAAUUGGGGUAAAGUUGUAUAUUGUGAUCCACCACAACAUUUUCCAGGAGUCAAAUAUUAUUGGGCACGUGACUAUUUCCCCAAUUUUGUGGAAGAAGAUAAACGUGUUUUUGUUUCUCAUGAUGGGGCACUUUAUUUUUCUGCAUUGGAAAUGAUUGAUCGUGGCAAUUAUUCUUGUAAUGUUCAAAGUGUUGCCUCUGAUACUGGUCGUAAUGGGCCAUUUUUCCCUUUGAGGGUUGACUCACAUUCCUCCUUCCAACAAUUAAAGUUCUCUGGUAAUUUUCCAAAGGCAUUUCCAGAUGCUCCAAUUGCAGGAGAGGAAGUUAGACUUGAAUGUGUUGCAUUUGGAUAUCCAAUUCCAUCAUACAAUUGGACAAGAAGAGGUGCAUCACUGCCACGUGGAUCAUACACAACUAGUUAUAAUCGAGUAUUAAUAAUUCCAAAAGUACAUGUUGAUGAUCAAGGAGAGUACACUUGUAGAGUUUAUAAUGACAGAUCAGCAAUUGAAAAUUCUGUAAGACUAACUAUUCAAGCAGCUCCGAAUUUUACAAUUCCAUUAGUAGAUAAACAUAUGGAUAAUAGAGGAGAGUUAACUUGGACUUGUGAAGCAUUUGGAAUACCAGAUGUUUCUUAUAGUUGGUUUAGAAAUGGUGAAAUGUUAAAUAUGGAAACACUUCCUUCACAAGAUAGAGAUCGAUAUUCUAUACAAGAUAAUGUCUUAAGUAUAAAAUAUUUAGAUCCAGAGCGAGAUCAAGCUAUGUAUCAAUGUCGCGCAAGAAAUCAGUUAAAAACAAAGUAUUCAUCUGCACAACUUCGAAUUUUAUCAUUAAAACCAUCUUUUAAAAAACGGCCUAUGGAACCCGAGACUUACGCAGCAGAAAAAGGUAAUGUCACAAUAUUCUGUAACCCUGAAGCUGCACCUAGACCAAAAUUUGUCUGGAAGAAAGAUGGAAAUGUGAUUGGUUCUGGUGGUAGACGUAGAAUUUUAGAAACUGGUAAUCUAAUAAUUAGCCCAGUAUCAAGGGAUGAUGAAGGCACAUACAUUUGCACUGCAACAAAUCAAUAUGGAAGCGAUGACACUCGUGGACGAUUAAUAGUAUUACGUGGUCCACAAUUUAUUGAAAAGUUACCACAACAUGUUACAAGUGCAGUGAUGCAAAAUCAAACACUGCGUUGCAUGGGGGAAGUAGUUGAUGAAAUGCUAGAUGUAGCUUAUAUUUGGAAACAUAAUGGUUUACGUAUCAGAGACGAGGAUUUAAUAAAUAAUCCUAGAUUGCAUAUUGACGGAGAAGAACUUAAUAUAAUAAACGCUACAUUCGCAGAAGCAGGAGAAUAUCAAUGCAUAAUUAAAAGUGCAGUAGGCGAAAUUUCUAGUAAAACGACAGUUACAAUAGAGGGACCACCAGGACCACCUGGUGGUGUACAAGUUGUAAAUAUUGUAAAAACUUCUACAACUUUACGUUGGACUGAUGGUGCUUUUAAUGGCAAACCCAUUACUAUGUAUACUGUAAGCGCAAGAACAAAUUGGAAUCACACAUGGUCUAAUAUCAUAGAAAAUAUAACUGCUGUUGAAGUAGAUAGAUAUAAUGGUAGAAAAGAGGCUUAUUUGGAGAAUGUUCUAAAUCCUUAUACUACAUAUGAGUUCUGUGUAUCUGCUUUUAAUGAAUUAGGAUACAGUUUACCAUCAUCACCCUCCCCACAAUACAGUACACCACCUGAUAAACCAACAAAAGUUCCAUCCAACAUAGGCGGAGGAGGAGGUAAAAUCGGAGAUCUUACAAUAACAUGGGAUCCUUUACCAUCAUCUGAACAAAAUGGUCCAGGAAUCUACUACAAAGUUUUCUGGCGUCAAAAGUAUCACGAAACUGAGUUUCAGUCAUUAUCUUUGAAAGACUAUGGUAAUGCUGGGAGAAGUGUUGUUCAGAUACAACAACAAUAUUAUUACACAGAAUACGAAGUUAAAGUCCAAGCUGCUAAUGCAUUAGGUUUUGGACCAAUUUCUAAUGCAGUUACGAUAUUUAGUGCUGAAGAUAUGCCCCAAGUAGCUCCACAACAAGUUGUAGCACAUGGCUACAAUAGUACUAGCUUAAAAGUUAGUUGGCUGCCAAUUGAACAGACACGUGAAAGGAUACGGGGCAAAUUAAUAGGCCAUAGAAUAAAGUAUUGGAAGGAAAGUAAUAAAGAGGAAGAUGCAGUAUAUUACUUAUCUCGAAGUGCAAGACCUUGGGCUCUUGUAGUUGGUUUGCAACCUGAUACUUAUUAUUAUGUUAAAGUCAUGGCGUAUAAUUCUGCGGGAGAAGGUCCUGAAAGUGAACGAUAUUUAGAAAGAACUUUCCGUAAAGCACCGCAAAAACCACCAUCUUCUGUCAAUGUAUAUGGAGUAAAUCCUUCAACAGUUCGGGUUGUUUGGCGUUAUGUACAACCAAGUUUAGAAGAAGAACCAUUAAUAGGUUAUAAAAUACGUGUUUGGGAGCUAGACCAAGAUAUGAGCACCGCAAAUGAUACUAUUAUACCAGGUGGCUCGAAAUUAGAAGCUUAUAUCACAAAUCUCAGCCCUGGAAAGGCAUACCACUUACGUGUACUUGCAUUUAGCAAUGGAGGAGAUGGACGAAUGUCGAGUCCAACUCAUACAUUCCAAAUGGGCGACGCAGCUGCUUUCAGAAGCAGUGCUGGUAAUAAAAUUUUGGAUGCUGCUUUAGGUAUAUCAUUGUUAUUAUUAUUGAGAAUUUAUGAAUACAUAUAGUAUGAGUAUAAGAUACUUUUGAUAUAUCACAGAUUUACUAAACUGUUAGUAAGAAAUUGAACGCGAGAGAAAGAGAGAGAAAGAGAGAGAGAGAGAGAGAGAGAAAGUAUAGUUCAAUUGGAUGUAUUAUAUUUUACACACAAUUCGUUUAAACUAUCGAUUUAAAAGAUGUUAGAGUUUGGAAUUUGCAAAAUUAUUUUCUCUAUAGCACUUGAAAUAUUUUCCCAUACUUUUCUUAUGUUAUUUAAUACACUAGUUAUGUGUCUUUUUAUAAUCUUUGGUGUUUCAUUCUUUCUGUCAUUCAUGUUUAAGGAACUUAACAACGUGUCUUCGUAAAGAUGUAGCUGUCCUAGUUGCGUGGGAUGUUCUGUGUAAGAUUACUCAGAACAUUGACCUUCAUAAAAUAUUUCAAGAUCAUUGAAAUCGACGAGAUAGGUUCCAUUUUCACGUGUCCGUAAUUUUUUCUCAUAGGCAACAUAGCGUACGUAAAAUAUCAAAUUCGUACGUUCAUGUACGUUUUAAUAUGGCGGUUUCCAUCAAAAUAUUCGUAACAAAUUUAUCAUUUUUUUGAACAUCACACACGUGACAAUUAAGUAAAUGAUUUUAUCGAUCCAAUUAAUAUAUUUCGUAGAUUUCAAAUGUUACAAGCAACUAUUUUGUUUGUCGAAGAUCUGUUCUUAACAAUUAUACAUUCGUCAUUUCGCGGCUACAUAAACAGGCCCGUCACUAACGCGUGAUGAGUCACAGUUACUUAGACAUUGAAUCACGAGAGUUAAAUAUGGAUCAGGAGUAAGAGUUUUGUUCUUGCUGAUAAACAUUCAAUUCGAAUACCAAAUACAUGCAUACAAUAAAAUCGACCAUUAUAAAGAAUUAUUUAUACGUUUUAUAUCAACACAAAAUAUGUAAUAUGCGUCAUUUUAAUUGCUGAAUUUCUUUUAAUAACGACAACAGGAUAGGGUGGUAUAAUAAUCUCUCGCAAUAUCAUAUGCAGUAGUAUUUCGGAAGAUGUUCGCUUGCCAAAUUUCGAAACUUAUAUGCCAUUAUUUCUACCACGGUAAAACUAGUCGGAGCGAGCGGUCACCUCAUACAGCCGAUGAAAUAUGCAUUAGAAUCGGGAAUUUUGAAGUCGACCACGAACGAGAAAACGAGAAAAUUUAUCAUUUUCCAUUAUCUCUUGAUAAUUUACGACACCUCCAAUCAAAUGAUAUUCAGUUUAAAAACAAUUCUCCGCAUAGUAAAAAAUGUAUAUCCACUAGUAAGUAUUAUUCUUGACAAGUUCUCUUUUCUGGCCAAUACUUAUGAAUCUAUGAAUUAAUCAUGCUAUGAUUUUCAUAUCUUCUAUUCAUUAAGCAUAUGAAUGAUAUGACGUUACAUUAUUAAGUAAAAUUAGCGUUUAAUGAUUUGGUAUCUUUAAAAUCUUUUUUAAUACACGUUCCAAGAUAACUUGUUUUCGUGAAACCUUCACUCUAUAGAUUCUUGAGUAUCUGUUGCAUGAGAACACUCUAUAAAAAAGUUUUUAAGGGUAAUAUUUCUUUCCAUAAAGAUUCCACAGGAACAGAUAUUUUCUUAAACGAAACAUCAACAGAAUUUAAAAAAAGAAAAAAAAA